AGAGUUUGAUUAUGGCUCAGGAUGAACGCUAGCGGCAGGCUAAUACAUGCAAGUCGAACGGGAUUCAGGUAGCAAUACUGAUGAGAGUGGCGCACGGGUGCGUAACACGUAUGCAACCUACCUUUAACUGGUGAAUAGCCCCGGGAAAUCGGGAUUAAUACACCAUAACAUUACAAGAGGGCAUCCUCUAAUAAUUAAAGAACUUCGGUUAAAGAUGGGCAUGCGGGACAUUAGCUAGUUGGUGAGGUAACGGCUCACCAAGGCAACGAUGUCUAGGGGUCCUGAGAGGGUUAUCCCCCACACUGGUACUGAGACACGGACCAGACUCCUACGGGAGGCAGCAGUAAGGAAUAUUGGUCAAUGGGCGCAAGCCUGAACCAGCCAUGCCGCGUGAAAAGGAAGACGGCGCUAUGCGUUGUAAACUUCUUUUGUCAGGGAAUAAAUGUAGGUACGUGUACUUACUUGAAGGUACCUGAAGAAUAAGCAUCGGCUAACUCCGUGCCAGCCGCUGC
rnacentral:rRNA from 1 species